UCUUAAAAACGAAGUGAAACGUCUCGCGGUCACUAAAGCCGCGUAGAAAGCCAAAGCAAUGGAUUUGGUAUUGAGCAAUGGUGGUGAAGCUCGGUUUAGCCAAUUUCCAAGAAAAAAGUUCAUGUUCGGUAGAAACUUGAAAGAAAUAAUAUGAAAGAUUUGUAUCGGCGUGAACAUUAAUACUUCGAAAUUACAUUCUAUAAUCCUCAAAGACAAAGAUCGAGAAGCCGAAGUCUUGAGUAUGAUAUCUGCACAAGGACAUCGUAUAGACACCAUCUUUAACGUGUCUAAGAACGGUCGAAUGUGGCUACGCGUUGACAGUGACGUUCAUGCCCAGUGAUAGACAUUUGAUAGUGGGUUUAAAGAAUGGAAAAAUGUUGGUCAUCGACAUCGCCUUGGGUGACGUUUUGGAAAAAAUUCAAGCACAUACGAAAGAAUUGUGGAGCGUCAUAUUAACCUAGAUAUGGGAUUUUGACGGAACUAUUCUGCUUUUGCCGUAUUCAGCAGUUUGUGAGAUCUUGCAGGCACUUCCAAAAUUAUUGUGGGGCGAAUCAUAAAUAAAAUUGUGUGUGAAACUAGCACUCAGGCUCGUUCACGUUUGUCACGGUACCAUCAUCACGAAUGCUCUGCUUUUACCAGUCUUGGAAGAAGUCAGAAAUAUGGGAAAUUGAAGCAGAGAAAAAAUGGUUAACGACGCACCCGAAUACGAGCGGCAAAAGGGGUCAACAACGGCGAGCAGGCCGUUGGUGAGGCCGGACUAUGAGGCAAUGCUCAACCGCCCUCGCCCCAGGAACAUGAGUUAGCCGGGCAGAUCGGCGAAGACGAUGCUCAGCCGGGACAACAAGAGCCUCAACAGCAACAAGCUGUUAAGAAAAGAAAUCAUCGGGGCGUUCGAGCAGGGUAGCGGGUCCGUGAGGCCAAGAAAAUUGAUUUUAUGGCCCGCUUAACUGAGAAAAUGGGUCAAAUUGUCGCCGAAAGGCACCACGGCCGCAAUUGGCGAGGUGGACGUGGUGAUCAACGUCGUGAACGAGGAUCUUCAUAAAUUUUCUAAAAAAUGAAUCAAAACAUAAUAUACUUUGUCUC